CCGGCGGUACAGGAUGGACCCGCGUCUGAUUAGCUAGUUGGUGAGGUAAUGGCUCACCAAGGCGACGAUCAGUAGCCGACCUGAGAGGGUGAUCGGCCACAUUGGAACUGAGACACGGUCCAAACUCCUACGGGAGGCAGCAGUGGGGAAUAUUGCACAAUGGGCGAAAGCCUGAUGCAGCAACGCCGCGUGAGCGAUGAAGGCCUUCGGGUCGUAAAGCUCUGUCCUCAAGGAAGAUAAAGACGGUACUGAGGA
rnacentral:rRNA from 1 species